rnacentral:lncRNA from 1 species
GGAAAAAGAAUGUACAAGGAAACAACUGUGGCCAUGUUGCAAAGUUUGAAGAGACGAGACAGGAAGCACAGAAAAUCUGUGCUUUUCAUGGUGCCUCAAUCAAGGGACUGGCUAACGAUCAAGAGGCAGAUUGCUGUGGUUAUGCCAGCAUUGCAUUCCCCGAGGGUGGAAGGCAAGAGGAAAACUCUGAGUGCCACCAAGAUGAGCUAUCUCCCAGUGAUGCAGUCUCCUGUGUGGUUUUGGACCAAAUAUCUGGCUGGAUAAGAAUACAAAUGCUGGGCCGGGGAUUUAGCUCAGUGAUUUCACCACCUGCUGCGCAAGCCCAAGGACCCGAGUUUG